AAAGGGCCCUAUCGAAGCUGCGAUAUUCAGAAUGUUGAAUAUACGUAGUCAAAAUGAGGCCAAUAUCAAAUUUUCUACAAUAGGUCACUGGAUGUUUAUUUUAAUGAUCAUUCAGUAUUACCCAAGUGGAAAACAACU